UAGACAACAGACUGUGAACAAGAGUGAGC
rnacentral:piRNA from 1 species